rnacentral:rRNA from 1 species
GACGAACGCUGGCGGCGUGCUUAACACAUGCAAGUCGAGCGAUGAAGCACCUUCGGGUGUGAAUUAGCGGCGAACGGGUGAGGAACACGUGAAGAAUCUGCCUUCGACUCUGGGAUAACUCCGGGAAACCGGGGCUAAUACCGGAUAUGAGCCUUAAUCGCAUGAUCGGGGCUGGACAGUUUUUCGGUUGAAGAUGACUUCGCGGCCUAUCAGCUUGUUGGUGAGGUAACGGCUCACCAAGGCGACGACGGGUAGCCGGCCUGAGAGGGCGACCGGCCACACUGGGACUGAGACACGGCCCAGACUCCUACGGGAGGCAGCAGUGGGGAAUAUUGGGCAAUGGAGGAAACUCUGACCCAGCGACGCCGCGUGAGGGAUGAAGGCCUUCGGGUUGUAAACCUCUUUCAGUAGGGAAGAAGCGAAAGUGACGGUACCUACAGAAGAAGCACCGGCUAACUACGUGCCAGCCGCCGCAGUAA